GCGCCCGUAGCUCAACGGAUAGAGCAUCUGACUUCGGAUCAGAAGGUUCGGGGUUCGAAUCCCUGCGGGCGCACCA
rnacentral:tRNA from 3 species